AUACUUCAACCAAACAGGAAACCCCCUACACAAUUUAACAGAGACAAGAUCAAUCAAAGCAUUUCAUUUUAAGCAAGUUAAAAACAAGUGUUAACACCAGGCCCGCCGAAAAAAGAACAGAUUCCACCACUUCUAAAGCAUUUAUCCCAAAAUUCCAUUCUGCGCAAACGUAAGGUCCAAUGCGGAGAUGAGCGUAUAGCCCCACUUUCUGGAUUGUCUUAAUAAACCGUACCAGGUCGUAUCUUCCCUCAAAAUUAUA
rnacentral:misc_RNA from 1 species